rnacentral:rRNA from 1 species
UACAGAGGUCUCAAGCGUUGUUCGGAUUCAUUGGGCGUAAAGGGCGCGUAGGCGGUUCGGCAAGUCUCUAGUGAAAUCUCUGGGCUCAACUCAGAGUCUGCUGGGGAAACUGCCGGGCUUUGAGUGUGGGAGAGGAGAGUGGAAUUCCUGGUGUAGCGGUGAAAUGCGCAGAUAUCAGGAGGAACACCGGUGGCGAAGGCGGGUCUCUGGGCCGAUACUGACGCUGAGGAGCGAAAGCGUGGGGAGCAAACAGG